AUACGGAGGGUGCAAGCGUUAAUCGGAAUUACUGGGCGUAAAGAGUACGUAGGUGGUUUGUUAAGUCAGAUGUGAAAGCCCCGGGCUCAACCUGGGAACUGCAUUUGAAACUGGCAAACUAGAGUAUGGCAGAGGGGGGUAGAAUUUCUAGUGUAGCGGUGAAAUGCGUAGAUAUUAGAAGGAAUACCAGUGGCGAAGGCGGCCCCCUGGACCAAUACUGACACUGAGGUACGAAAGCGUGGGUAGCGAACAGGAUUAGAAACCCUAGUAGUCC
rnacentral:rRNA from 1 species